CCCGCACGCAGCGCCUUACCCUCGAAGCGUUUUUUUCUUUUUCUCCUCGCCUCUAACCUCCCCUGCCCACAGACGCGCCGCGCCUGGCAGACACUCCGCGCAAAGGAGGCAACUCGCGGAUCUAGCUAUCCCUCACCGGCCGCCGCCCCUUCCCCAAGCACCACCCGCUGGAUCGGCGAAAACCUAAUGCGCCGCCGCCGCCACCAGACUCCUCACAACGCGCCGCCCCCGCCCGCGCGGUCUCAGGCCCGAUCCCACCGAUGGCAGGGACGAAGGCCUACCUUCCCCGCGCGGAUGCGAACCAGGAAGGCCGCAUCAGCGGCCAGGACCCCAGGAGGCCGUCGCCUUCUUCCAGAGCGUCAGCUUGCCGCGCCCGCAGCAGGUCCUCGCCCAGGUGAGCCUAAACCCUCCCUGGGCGGAGGUGAGACGGCCUGGUUCCGGCGCCGGCACGCGUCGUGGCGGUGGCGACGGGAGACAGCUGCGGCAUCGGCCGGGAGAUCGCCCGCGAACUCGCUCUCCAUGGCCUCCACGUCGUCCUCGCCUCCAGCGACGCCGAGUGCGGAUGGGACGCCGCAGAGAAGCUCCGGGAGCCGGCGGCGGGGGACAUCGGGCAGAUGGUAGCUGGUCAGGUCUUCAUCUGACGCGGCACAUUUUGGUGGCGUAUUUGUAACAGCUCGAGAUGCCAAAAGCUGGAUCACCUGCUUUCUUGAUCUGCAUCAUGAUUCUAAGCCUCGAUGCCGUUGGCAUCUUCUUCGUGCAGCUGCCGGCCCAGCUCCAUGUCCGUUUCAUCACGUGUGAACGUAUGCUCUUACAAGCCCUGGCGCAUCACUGAGGAGAUUACAAGCAGAUUUAUGAAGAGGUAAGGAAAUCUAUAUAUCAAACGGUAUUGUUGGAAGUUGCAUAUGGAAGAUCUUUAGAACUGGAAAUGGCAUGCUAGCAGAAUUGAUGUUCUGAAGAGCUAACUGGUGCGGUGAACCUUGCAAAUUAUUGAUGGAAAUGAGCUCCUGAAUUCAAGGAUGGACACCGAAAUCAUUACCUGAAGAAACUGGAAUCAUGUAGGCUCGCUGGCAGACUCGUAGGAAACAAACAAGGUAUGAUCCAGUUUGAACCUCAUGUUUGGAAAUGUGAAAUUACAGUGUCUUCUCCAUCUAACCAACCACCUGAAGAAGCAGCGGGGCUGCCACCCUUCAGUUUCUCGUCGCUUCUUUUUGUUGCAGGAUGUUUUUCCCUUGUGUAUUUGCACCUUUACACAAAUUAAAGAUUCUUUAUUCACUGCUUCACUCUUUAUUUAGCAAGACUGUUUUUUUCAUUUUCUUUAUGUAAGGACCAUGUAAAAUAUUUACUCUGAAUAACACCACAAUGUUCGUUCUCAAAUUCCUUUACAAGAUAUAAGGCACAUAUUUAUGCGUGCAGUCAACGCUUUCAAACUUUGACCAAUUUUAUAUGACAAAGUAUAUGAAUUGAGCAUGUAA